rnacentral:rRNA from 1 species
UUUCCAGAGAUGGAUUGGUGCCUUCGGGGACUCUGACACAGGUGCUGCAUGGCUGUCGUCAGCUCGUGUCGUGAGAUGUUGGGUUAAGUCCCGUAACGAGCGCAACCCUUGUCCUUAGUUACCAGCACGUUAUGGUGGGCACUCUAAGGAGACUGCCGGUGACAAACCGGAGGAAGUGGGAUGACGUCAAGUCAUCAUGGCCCUUACGGCCUGGGCUACACACGUGCUACAAUGGUCGGUACAAAGGGUUGCCAAGCCGCGAGGUGGUGCUAAUCCCAUAAAACCGAUCGUAGUCCGGAUCGCAGUCUGCAACUCGACUGCGUGAAGUCGGAAUCGCUAGUAAUCGUGAAUCAGAAUGUCACGGUGAAUACGUUCCCGGGCCUU